CAGCCGCCGCGGUAAUACGUAGGUGGCAAGCGUUGUCCGGAAUUAUUGGGCGUAAAGCGCGCGCAGGCGGUCCUUUAAGUCUGAUGUGAAAUCUUGCGGCUCAACCGCAAGCGGUCAUUGGAAACUGGGGUACUUGAGUGCAGGAGAGGAAAGCGGAAUUCCAUGUGUAGCGGUGAAAUGCGUAGAGAUAUGGAGGAACACCAGUUGCGAAGGCGGCUUUCUGGCCUGUAACUGGCGCUGAGGCGCGAAAGCGUGGGGAGCAAACAGGAUUAGAUACCCGGGUAGUCCACGCCGUAAACGAUGAGUGCUAAGUGUUGGAGGGGUUCCACCCUUCAGUGCUGCAGCAAACGCAUUAAGCACUCCGCCUGGGGAGUACGGUCGCAAGACUGAAACUUAAAGGAAUUGGCGGG
rnacentral:rRNA from 1 species